rnacentral:rRNA from 1 species
AUUGAACGCUGGCGGCAGGCUUAACACAUGCAAGUCGAGCGGUGAUGAGGUGCUUGCACCUUAUCUUAGCGGCGGACGGGUGAGUAAUGCUUAGGAAUCUGCCUAUUAGUGGGGGACAACAUUCCGAAAGGAAUGCUAAUACCGCAUACGUCCUACGGGAGAAAGCAGGGGAUCUUCGGACCUUGCGCUAAUAGAUGAGCCUAAGGCGGAUUAGCUAGUUGGUGGGGUAAAGGCCUACCAAGGCGACGAUCUGUAGCGGGUCUGAGAGGAUGAUCCGCCACACUGGGACUGAGACACGGCCCAGACUCCUACGGGAGGCAGCAGUGGGGAAUAUUGGACAAUGGGGGGAACCCUGAUCCAGCCAUGCCGCGUGUGUGAAGAAGGCCUUAUGGUUGUAAAGCACUUUAAGCGAGGAGGAGGCUACUGAGACUAAUACUCUUGGAUAGUGGACGUUACUCGCAGAAUAAGCACCGGCUAACUCUGUGCCAGCCGCCGCGGUAA